CACCGAGGGCGUGCCGUGCUGGGCCCGUGCUCUGUCCUCCGAGGCGGAAAUGUCACUGGCUGGGCCCGGCAGCGGAUGCCCGGUGGGGUUGCGUCUGCCGGGGGUGCGCAGUCAGGGCACAGUCCAGAGGUGCGGCGCUUUAGGGAGACUCGAGCAUCCGGAACCCUGUGGUCCCUACCCCAUUUCUGUUCCCACAGCAGG
rnacentral:lncRNA from 1 species